rnacentral:tRNA from 1 species
GGAGGCAUAGCUUAGUGGUAGAGCCCUUGACUGGCAUUCAUGAGGCCCUGAGUUCAAUCUCCAGUUCUGCCA